UCUCCUUGUUAGAUUCUUCACUAAUUACCACUCCUUUUAUCUUGUUUUUGGAAAAGUUUUUGGCUGCAUCAAACUUUUUGUUCUUUCUUGACUACUUCUUGAAGACUUUAUUGAAGUUCCGAGUAAGUAUCACCAUUUGCUCUUGUAACUCUUCGAUAGCAGUGGUACCUUCAAUUGGAAUGGUGUUGUCACUUGAAAGCUAUACUUUUCUCACCUUUGGACUUGUUUCUCGAUUCAUCUAGAUUCAUCUCAAAAGUCUUCAAUGACCCAAUGACCUCAUUGAUUCUGAUAUUGCCAUUGUUUCUUGCCUCCUUA
rnacentral:lncRNA from 1 species